rfam:Canis lupus familiaris chromosome 22, whole genome shotgun sequence.
CGGAGGAGGCCGGAUCCUGGGCUGUGUCCCCGCGCCCUGUGCUCCGGAGCCUGCGCUGUUGGAUUCGCGCUCCCGGGCCGCGCAGCCCCCU